CAGCCGGGGUGCCGGAGAGUCUUCAGUGACCUCCGGUGCGAGCGGACGAGUAGACCCGCCAUCAUUUCCCUUGUCCACCACCACAGGCCUACCAAACCACCACCUCACAAAAUGUUGCGGGUGUUGCUUGUCGUCUGCCUGGCAGUCUGCGUUCUCAGUACUCCGUGGCCACACCACGAAAUUGGUCACGGGGACUGUACCUCCUGCUCCACCGUCAGCUGUGUGGACGUCUCCCGCCACUGUCCCAACCACCUCAUCAAAGGUGGUCCUUGUGGCUGUUGUCUAGUCUGCUCCCAGAUCGUGGGAGAUUUAGCGGAACCUCAUCACUCUCACUGCGUCAACGAGGGGAACGACCACGAUGUCCAUGGCCACUCCCACGACACUCACGACGAUUACUGCAAAGCUCUUGGUCACAAAGACUAAUAUGUUGCACCAGGACACCCGCGGGAUACCAGUGAGGGACCCUUCAUAGACCACUGAACAUGUACAUUGUUGACAACAAUCACACACACACACACACACACAGAACAAAGAGCCGAAGCUCAGCCCCCCGCAAGCACAACUAGGGGAGUACACACACACACAUCUACUUUUCUACGGCUCGCAAGUGUGAGGAAAAUGACCUAAAGAAUUGCUAUCAACCCCGAAGAGGCUCUGCAUUGUACUGCAAGAGUAAGAAGAUCAAUAACUUCCAAAUGAAGAAUUCUCCAGACACCAAAGACUAGACCUUGAACGAGACGAAUAUUCUCUUUACGUUUACAUACCCACUUGAAAUUGUCAGCCUCAGUGCUCUCAAUAUAUAGGCAAGCCGACAUCUCUUUCACUCGAGUGAUAAAGCAGAAAGAACAAGACACUAAAGUUCAAAUUUUGUAUAUAAAAACAGACCGUUACCUGAAAGAUCCCACUAGCAAUAACAGUAGGCAUAUAACCUUCAGAAAGUCUCGACAACAAUACAACUUGACCUACGAAAUGAAGGACUCAAUUAUCCUGUUCUCUCAUCACACACGCACGGACACAUGAAAUCUUUACUGCUUUGUUGUUGUGUAUGCUCUCUUUUAUACUGUGUGUGAGUUAGUACAAUGUGUAAGGCAUAAUAAACUUUUGAAAAAU